rnacentral:lncRNA from 1 species
CACGAUGUAGAGGGCUGACUGGGUGGCAUGAUCUUACACCUGUGGAAUCUGCAAAAUGGACCCUAUGGAAGCAGCGCAGAAUGACAAUUACUAGAGACUGGGAGAGGGAAGAAGUUUUAGAGGUUUCAGUUCAUGGUCACCUGGCUUCAAGGCAGAAGCGUCUUGGCAGUGGGACAUGGAGAAGGAAACCUGCUCACCUGUGGUAGCUGGGAAGCGAAGGCAAGAGCCAGAGAAAAGGGGGCCAUUGACAAACUAGAGUCCUCCAAAUCACACUCCCUGACCCACUCCCUUCACCUAACCCCUGCCACCUGUUUCCACGGUCUUCCAACAAUACUAUCAGAGCAUUAUCUCAUCAGUUGAAUAAUCCACUGAUAAAUUUAGAGCCCGUAUAUCCAAUUGCCUUCGGAAAGGGGAGAGGUAUUUUAGAUCUAAACCAUGACAACUGUGUAUUUCAAAAUAACUAAAGAGCAGAUUCAAAUGGAUUUCUUUGGUUUAAUUAUUCUAAGAAGAUGAACCAUGAGGUAAUUUAAGGGAAGAACUAGUUUUGUGCAGAAUGUGGAUAAAUGGAAAGGACCACAAUUUUAAUACAGAGAAUGUGUAAUCGAAGAGCCCAAGUCAGAAAUUCUCCUCACCGGAUCCCUUACAGUACUAUGGAAGGACUGGUCUCAGCAGGGAUGUGUGUCACAAAUAUGGAAGACUGGGAAUCAAACGAGGUUUGAACAGUAUCAUUCAAUCUACAAAUAUUUGCCUUCAAAAUACCUUUUUCACACAUGCAACACUGGUCUCAUAUUUUGAGACACUUCCAAUUUACAAAGCUUCAUCUCUGCGGUUCCUUGAUGUAGGCUGAGCACACGUUAACCACACUGUUUUUCAGAGGGACUGAAGUCUGGGAAGGCUCAGUGACUUGGCAGAGAUCACAUAAUCAGCAACCAGCGGGUCCUCUGGCUCUGCUACAGCUGCCUCAAGACUACAGAGCAAGGCAAGCUACACCUGCCAUGAAUUUCCAUAUUCCACUUCUAAUGGUGCCGCAGGCUGUCCCCUCAUAUAAUUAGCUCCUCUGUGGAACCCGGUGUAUCUAGGACAAAGACAGUGGAUCUGCUUGAAUGGAAUAAGUAGUGAAGAGCUGAGCUCUAUCCACUGGGAAAUCCCUGAACAACAGCGAUCAAACUUUGAGGUUCUAAAGUAUAAGUAUGAGGACUACUUCUUACAUUAUUUAAAAUUUUUCUCUCAAUUACCUUAUGCUGUGGGUAUUAUUUCCCCUAUUUCCCUCUCUUGGGUGGGGAAAACAUAAGUAACUUAAAGAUGGCAGAGGGAGGAUUUAAACUCACACCAAUCUGAUUCUUAAAUUCAGGUUCAUGGCCCAGGAUGUAGCUCAGUGGUGGAGUACUUGCCUCACAUGCAUGAGGCCCUGAGUUGGAGCUACAGAACCGCCAAGAGAAAAUGCAGAUUUGGCCCACAGCAGGUAUGUACUCCUGGUGCCCAACUGGUCUAACUCCACACACCAUCAAACCCAUCCUGCUACUUUCCCAGACCAGCAUCCAUGCUCAUGACACAACUUCCCCUUGAAUCUCAGUGAUGAACGUUCUUGGAACCAAAUGCUGGGGAAAGCUGAAUGUGCCUAGCUGCUGAAAUGCCUUUGAUUUUGUGACUAAAUAGUUCCAUGUACAUGUGCAUCUUGUUCUCUAUGUAAUCUGUUAUAAAGUAAAAGAAGUUUUGGUGUUGAG